rnacentral:rRNA from 1 species
UACAGAGGUCCCAAGCGUUGUUCGGAUUCACUGGGCGUAAAGGGUGCGUAGGUGGCCAGGUAAGUUCGGUGUGAAAGCUCGGAGCUUAACUCCGAAAUGUCAUUGAAUACUAUCUGGCUAGAGGGUCGGAGGGGAGACUGGAAUUCUCGGUGUAGCAGUGAAAUGCGCAGAUAUCAGGAGGAACACCGAUGGCGAAGGCAGGUCUCUGGGCCAUAACUGACGCUGAGAAGCGAAAGUAUGGGGAGCGAACAGG